AAAGGAACUUUGGUAGUGAAAAAAAAAGAAAAAAAACAUUCUCAAUUUGAGAAAAGCCGUACCUACACUGAUGUAUUCAACGAGCUUAUAGCCUUGGCCGACAGGCCCGGGUAAUCUUUGAAAUUUCAUCGUGAUGGGGAUAGAUCAUUGCAAUUUUUGGUCCUCAACGAGGAACUCCUAGUAAGCGCGAGUCAUCAGCUCACGUUGACUACGUCCCUGCCCUU
rnacentral:rRNA from 1 species